rnacentral:rRNA from 1 species
GAUGAACGCUGGCGGCGUGCCUAAUACAUGCCAGUCGAGCGAACAGACGAGGAGCUUGCUCCUCUGACGUUAGCGGCGGACGGGUGAGUAACACGUGGAUAACCUACCUAUAAGACUGGGAUAACUUCGGGAAACCGGAGCUAAUACCGGAUAACAUGUUGAACCGCAUGGUUCAACAGUGAAAGACGGUCUUGCUGUCACUUAUAGAUGGAUCCGCGCCGCAUUAGCUAGUUGGUAAGGUAACGGCUUACCUAGGCAACGAUGCGUAGCCGACCUGAGAGGGUGAUAGGCCACACUGGAACUGAGACACGGUCCAGACUCCUACGGGAGGCAGCAGUAGGGAAUCUUCCGCAAUGGGCGAAAGCCUGACGGAGCAACGCCGCGUGAGUGAAGAAGGUCUUCGGAUCGUAAAACUCUGUUAUUAGGGAAGAACAAAUGUGUAAGUAACUAUGCACGUCUUGACGGUACCUAAUCAGAAAGCCACGGCUAACUACGUG